GCCUUCGUAGUGUAAUGGUAAAGCACACUCGGUGCGUAUUCGAGAGGUCCAUGGUUCGAGUCCCGGCGAGGGCA
rnacentral:tRNA from 1 species